AUGAAGGGUCUAGGCCCGAAACGUCAGCCUCUCUGCUCCUAUGAUGCUGCUUGGCCUGCUGUGUUCAUCCAGCCCUGCACCUAAAUGUCUAUACCUGUUCAGUUCAGAGAAUUAUAAAUGGUACACACUUGCUCAACAAAGGUGUACAGGUAAAAUGAGCAAAUGCAGAGCAGUCAGUUUAACCUCUGGGGGGAAAUGCUUUUGGAAGUGAUAAUCUUGACAAAUUUUGCAUUAAUUAGGGAAAGCCAGCAUGGACUUGUCAACAGAAAAUCCUGUUUAACUUGACUAAGUUUUAUUUUUAUUGCGAUAAAGAACAGAGUUGAUAAGAACAAUGCAGUGCUAUACACAAACUUUCAAACCGCAGCCUAACUGCCAGCAAAGUUUAUUCCACAAGCCUUAAAGGGAUACUGACAGCCUAGAUCUGAAGCUCGUUGGGUGAAAGGAAACAAUAGUUGUUCUUGGAUUGGAGGAAUGUAUCCGGUAAGGCGCUUCAGGAAUCCGUAUAAGGACUGCUGUUUUCUUUCAAUUAUAUUAAUGACCUAGACUUGGCUGUGAUGGGCUAAAUUACAAGUUUUACAGAACAAAGAGGAAAAUGGUGAUAGAUUUCAGGAGGAUAUAGGGUGUUGGAAUUGGAGUUCGAGUUCAGAUGACAGAUAAAAUUUAAUACAGACGUGUGUUUGGUAGUGUAAACUUCAAUUCUGAUGGGAUGUAGGAACAGAGAGAGUGGGGGAGGUUAUGCACAUAAAUCAUUGAAGGUGACAGAACAGAUUGAAAAACCAGCCAAAAAGGCAUUUGGUAUUUUAAGCUUUAUAGCUAGAGGUAUAGAUUACUGAAGACCAAGGAAAUUAUAAUUAACCUUCUUCACAAUACACUGAUUCAGCAUCAACUGAAGUAUUGUACCCAAUUCUAGGCACCUUAGAAAGGUUGUGGAAGUUUAAAGGACUGAAAAAAGGAUUAUGAGAAUGGUUCUUUGGGUAAGGCAGUUCUGUUACUUAAGUCAGAUGAAUUGGAGAAGCUAGGUCUGUUGUCCUUAUGAAAGAGCAAGUUUAAAGUAGAUUGAAUAGAAGUGUUCAAAAUCAUAAGGGGUAUGAGCAAAGUAAAUGGGAGAAACUCUCCUCAUUGACAGGAGGGUGAAGAACCAAGGACUGAGUGGUGAAUGACGAAAGAAACAACAGUGACAUGAGAAAACUCUUUUCCUGCAGGGAGUCAUCUGGAUCUUGAACACACUGAUGUUUAAAUUUCCAAUUUGUAGAUGUAAUUGUGACAAUUGUUGAGAGUCAGCCUGAUUCUGCCAGAAACAGGCAGUCACAGACAUUUCUGCUAAAAUAAUUUGUAUCACUGUACCAUUUUAAAUGUGUAGGCUGCCCACUUUUCCAACUGUGUAAAACAUAAUGGCAUUGGCUUUACAAAACUAAGCAAGAUGACUCAAACUCAAUCUGAAGUGGCACUUACCUGCAAACUCUUUUUUAAAAAAAAACACAGGUGCUUGCUUUUCUUGACGUCUACCACAGUUAUGUAGUACGUCACUUAGUUAACAAAGCCUUACUCAAGCUUUUGCAGCCUUGCUUUAAGUUUGCUUUCCCACUCUAUAAAUAGGCUUUUGGGUCACUAUCUACUAUAGGCUACACGUGUGCGUUUGCUAUUGGAUUGGUGAAAUCCAGCCCAUAUGAUUCCCUUGAGUCCAGGAAGUUAAAAUAUUAACCAAGCCUGUUUCUGACUGCCAAUCAGGAGUUCAUUUCAGAAGAGAAGUUAUCAGCUUACAGGAGAAUCCAGUUGUCAAUCUACGAGAACAAUCAUCCUCACAAAAGUCUUUGAGUCUGUGAGGUCGCCAAGCUGUGGGAGUUUGUAGAAGUUUAAAUUGUAUGAACUGAAACAAGGAUUAGGCCAGCAGUGCAAGAAGGACAACUGAACAGUGACAGAAAUAAGAAAUUAAAGGGUUUUAAUAAGUGGUAUUUCUCUGGAGUUGUAGUACCUGUUAUUGAUAUUGCUGGGAAACAGUUUGGGAACAUGGGAAUUAGGAGCGGGAGUAAGCAAUUCAGCCUUCAUGCUUGCUAAGAUCAUGGCUGAACUUAUUCUGGUCUCAAAAACAGGUUGAAACAGAAAAAUAAAGCUUCUGUGAAGAUCUUUCUAAACUGUCGUAUAAUUUAAAAAAAACUCACUUGUUUAAUA